rnacentral:rRNA from 1 species
AGAGUUUGAUCCUGGCUCAGGAUGAACGCUAGCGGCAGGCCUAACACAUGCAAGUCGAGGGGCAUCACGAGGUAGCAAUACUUUGGUGGCGACCGGCGCACGGGUGCGUAACGCGUAUGUAACCUACCUAUAACAGGGGCAUAACACUGAGAAAUUGGUACUAAUUCCCCAUAAUAUUCGGAGAGGCAUCUCUCCGGGUUGAAAACUCCGGUGGUUAUAGAUGGACAUGCGUUGUAUUAGCUAGUUGGUGAGGUAACGGCUCACCAAGGCAACGAUACAUAGGGGGACUGAGAGGUUAACCCCCCACACUGGUACUGAGACACGGACCAGACUCCUACGGGAGGCAGCAGUGAGGAAUAUUGGUCAAUGGACGCAAGUCUGAACCAGCCAUGCCGCGUGCAGGAUGACGGCUCUAUGAGUUGUAAACUGCUUUUGUACGAGGGUAAACUCACCUACGUGUAGGUGACUGAAAGUAUCGUACGAAUAAGGAUCGGCUAACUCCGUGCCAGCAGCCGCGGUAAUACGGAGGAUUCAAGCGUUAUCCGGAUUUAUUGGGUUUAAAGGGUGCGUAGGCGGUUUGAUAAGUUAGAGGUGAAAUCCCGGGGCUUAACUCCGAAAUUGCCUCUAAUACUGUUUGACUAGAGAGUAGUUGCGGUAGGCGGAAUGUAUGGUGUAGCGGUGAAAUGCUUAGAGAUCAUACAGAACACCGAUUGCGAAGGCAGCUUACCAAACUAUAUCUGACGUUGAGGCACGAAAGCGUGGGGAGCAAACAGGAUUAGAUACCCUGGUAGUCCACGCAGUAAACGAUGAUAACUCGUUGUCGGCGAUACACAGUCGGUGACUAAGCGAAAGCGAUAAGUUAUCCACCUGGGGAGUACGUUCGCAAGAAUGAAACUCAAAGGAAUUGACGGGGGCCCGCACAAGCGGAGGAACAUGUG